GCCCCUGUAGUUAAAUGGAUAUAACGGGCCCCUCCUAAGGGCCAGUUACAGGUUCGAUUCCUGUCGGGGGUACCA
rnacentral:tRNA from 3 species